rnacentral:rRNA from 1 species
UACGUAGGGUGCAAGCGUUGUCCGGAAUUAUUGGGCGUAAAGAGCUCGUAGGCGGUUUGUCGCGUCGGCUGUGAAAACCUGGGGCUCAACCCCGGGCCUGCAGCCGAUACGGGCAAGCUAGAGUUCGGUAGGGGAGACUGGAAUUCCUGGUGUAGCGGUGAAAUGCGCAGAUAUCAGGAGGAACACCGGUGGCGAAGGCGGGUCUCUGGGACGGUACUGACGCUGAGACGCGAAAGCGUGGGGAGCGAACAGG